rnacentral:rRNA from 1 species
UACGAAGGGGGCUAGCGUUGCUCGGAAUCACUGGGCGUAAAGCGCACGUAGGCGGACUCUUAAGUCAGGGGUGAAAUCCUGGAGCUCAACUCCAGAACUGCCUUUGAUACUGGGAGUCUUGAGUUCGGGAGAGGUGAGUGGAACUGCGAGUGUAGAGGUGAAAUUCGUAGAUAUUCGCAAGAACACCAGUGGCGAAGGCGGCUCACUGGCCCGAUACUGACGCUGAGGUGCGAAAGCGUGGGGAGCGAUCCGG